UUCUUCCCUGUGAAGGUGCUGAGGCCCUGGCACAGGUUGCCCAGAGAAGCUGUGGCUGCCCCCUGGAAGUGUCCAAAGCCAGAUUGGAUGGGCCUUGUAGCCACCUGGGAUAGUAGAAGCAGUCCUUGCCCACAUCA